UACGUAGGUGGCGAGCGUUGUCCGGAUUUACUGGGCGUAAAGCGCGCGCAGGCGGUUCGUUAAGUCCGGUGUGAAAGCUCCCGGCUCAACUGGGAGAGGUCAUUGGAUACUGGCGGACUUGAGGGAUGCAGAGGAAGGUGGAAUUCCCGGUGUAGUGGUGAAAUGCGUAGAGAUCGGGAGGAACACCAGUGGCGAAGGCGGCCUUCUGGGCAUUUCCUGACGCUGAGGCACGAAAGCCAGGGGAGCAAACAGG
rnacentral:rRNA from 1 species